rnacentral:tRNA from 1 species
UUGUUAAAGUGGCUGAAAUAGCAAUAAAUUGUAAAUUUAUUUAUGUAGAUAAAUUAGUUCUUCUUUUAACA